GAUAAAACUGCGGCCACACUGCAAUAAGAACACGUGCAUUUGUUUCACAAAAUUUCAUAGUUAUUGUAAAAACCAAUACAAAAAGGAUAAUUAUCCAUAAAUAACAUAAGUAAAACGGUAAAAGUCAUCACUGAUACCGCAACAUGUCAAUUGCAGUAAAAUUAAAAGGCGAACUAUGUAUAUUCUUGUGCGACAAGGCAAAGUACGACAUCCAGAUCCCACGUCUACUGCCUGGUGGAAAAUUUGAAUGGCACGUGGAUCGGUGGCCGACGCAGCAAACCAGAAAAGACUGAAGAGCUGAAGUGUGGUGUGUGUCAUCCAAUGGAUCUUAGGGGAUCAGCAAAGGGAUGUCCUCUGCGGUGCCAACUCGGAGCCGUUUGUGAGCACCUGCCGACUCAAAACAUUCAGCGAUUUUAGCUUAGCCCCAGGAGGCCACCUCUCUCAUGAGGCGGAUUUCAAUAGUUUGACGCUCUGUCUCGGCUGCAUUUGGAACCCGAGCAUCAGUCUAUACGGAGCAGAUAUUAAGAGGCGCAAUCCAUUUGCCUGUGGGAAUGAAUAUGCUAAAAUAGGUAAUGUCUGCUAACUGGAGGCAAAGCUGGAUGACCCGCAAAAGAGGACCAGUCGGAAUAAUAUAAGCGUCUCAUGAAUCAUGGGGUCAGUGACAGAUGAACGAUUCUUGUUAUUGGCCCAUUUGGGCAAGAGAUCACAUAUUUUGAUCCUCUACUGGGCUUGACCCAGAUAGAAAGAUAACUCCAGCGGCCACACGGCACCUGCAAAGAUCCUGCUGCUGCAGGCAAGGGUGCGA